AUGGUGCAACAUGCGUUGGACCGCCCUGUUGCCUCUAGCUGUGCAUUCAAACGCAUCCGCGUCAAAGUAGAUAGGGCGGCAAAGGAUCUCAAAAUCUGGGCAAAGGGCUUCUCCAGCAGUACCCGGCUGCAGUUGCAGAUUGCAAAUGAAGUAGUUCUCCGCCUCGACAUCGCCCAAGAGCACAGACAGCUAUCACACGGCAAGCUGGCUCUCCGGAAACAGCUCAAACUCCGCGUCCUUGGCCUGGCUGCGAUUGAUCAGGCAAGGAAGCGCCCGGCCUCGUGCAUCACCUGGCUGCGGGCCGGCGAUGCCCGGUCGGCCUUCUUCCAGGCCAAGAUCAACUCUAGGAGGCAGAAAAACUUCAUUCAUGCCAUCCACACGACACACUCGAUUCUCACAUCGCAUAGCGACAAGGCCAAUGCUAUCUACGACCACUUCAACUCCUCCCUUGGGGUCGAGCCCAUUAGAGACACCACUAUAAACUGGAGCUCGGUCAACCUUCCAUCAUUACUGGCAGUCGGUUUAGACAACCCGUUUUCGGAGGAAGAGGUUUGGCAGGAGAUCUGUGCCUCGCCGCAGGAAAAACGCCAGGGCUUGAUGGCUUCAACGGAACUUUCUUCCGUGCAUGCUGGUCGAUCAUCAAGCUCGACGUCAUAG
rnacentral:rRNA from 1 species